rnacentral:rRNA from 1 species
GAUGAACGCUGGCGGCGUGCUUAACACAUGCCAGUCGAACGAUGAAGCCCAGCUUGCUGGGUGGAUUAGUGGCGAACGGGUGAGUAACACGUGAGUAACCUGCCCUUAACUCUGGGAUAAGCCUGGGAAACUGGGUCUAAUACCGGAUAGGAGCGUCCACCGCAUGGUGGGUGUUGGAAAGAUUUGUCGGUUUUGGAUGGACUCGCGGCCUAUCAGCUUGUUGGUGAGGUAAUGGCUCACCAAGGCGACGACGGGUAGCCGGCCUGAGAGGGUGACCGGCCACAAGGGGACUGAGAGAGGGCCCAGACUCCUACGGGAGGCAGCAGUGGGGAAUAUUGCACAAUGGGCGAAAGCCUGAUGCAGCGACGCCGCGUGAGGGAUGACGGCCUUCGGGUUGUAAACCUCUUUCAGUAGGGAAGAAGCGAAAGUGACGGUACCUGCAGAAGAAGCACCGGCUAACUACGUG